UCACCCCUCAAGCCACGUGCUUGGUGUUGGACGGCCGGUUGAGCGAUCGACCCCUCCUAAAGACAAUGACGGCGGCCUGUGGUUCCCCCGGUACACUGAGCUUUUCACGGAGCACGUAUCGGACAAGGGCACCCGGGACCCGGUCCUCUCCUUUCACAAGGAAACUUUUUAU
rnacentral:misc_RNA from 1 species